AGUGAACGCUGGCGGUAGGCCUAACACAUGCGAGUCGAACGGCAGCACAGUAAGAGCUUGCUCUUACGGGUGGCGAGUGGCGGACGGGUGAGGAAUACAUCGGAAUCUACUUUUUCGUGGGGGAUAACGUAGGGAAACUUACGCUAAUACCGCAUACGACCUACGGGUGAAAGCAGGGGAUCUUCGGACCUUGCGCGAUUGAAUGAGCCGAUGUCGGAUUAGCUAGUUGGCGGGGUAAAGGCCCACCAAGGCGACGAUCCGUAGCUGGUCUGAGAGGAUGAUCAGCCACACUGGAACUGAGACACGGUCCAGACUCCUACAGGAGGCAGCAGUGGGGAAUAUUGGACAAUGGGCGCAAGCCUGAUCCAGCCAUACCGCGUGGGUGAAGAAGGCCUUCGGGUUGUAAAGCCCUUUUGUUGGGAAAGAAAAGCAGCAGGUUAAUACCCCGCUGUUCUGACGGUACCCAAAGAAUAAGCACCGGCUAACUUCGUG
rnacentral:rRNA from 1 species